UGUGGCCGUCUUUGCGCAUCAAACACGGAAUGAAAGACCACUUGUUGAGCUAUUGUCUCAGGGUGACUCGGAAAAUGACAGUAACAGCAAUGAUGCUGAAUGUCAUGCCUGGAGCUACACACUGAGCUGAAAGUUCUGCUGAAGAAAAGAGUGAGAGAUCUGCCCUAGAAGAUUCUACUAAAGAAACUUCUAAGCAUGUUUCCAGACACCACAGCAAGACCAAUAUUCCAUGUGAGUGGGAUUUAAGAAGCUGUCAUGCAUACUGUGUUUUCAGUUUCUCUCUGUAAUAUGUGGUCUAUUCUGUCUAAUGUUUUUCUUUCUAUGAUUUAAUUAUCUGAAUAAACACUCAAACAUCA